rnacentral:rRNA from 1 species
UACGUAGGGUGCGAGCGUUAAUCAGAAUUACUGGGCGUAAAGCGUGCGCAGGCGGUUUUGUAAGCCAGAUGUGAAAUCCCCGGGCUUAACCUGGGAAUGGCAUUUGGGACUGCAAGGCUUGAGUGCGGCAGAGGAGACUGGAAUUCCUGGUGUAGCAGUGAAAUGCGUAGAUAUCAGGAGGAACACCGAUGGCGAAGGCAGGUCUCUGGGCUGACACUGACGCUCAUGCACGAAAGCGUGGGGAGCAAACAGG